AUGUAGCAUAAGUGUAUAUAUAAAUAUAUGAAGUAUGUAAUAUAUAUGUAUAUAUAAAUAUAUAAAAUGAUGAUAUUUUAAUUUCGAUUUGUCGGUUGAGUUCGAUUUUAAUAGAUCACAUAAAUCAAUAACCAAACUAAAAUAUUGAUUUUUUUAUUUUAUUCAAUCAAAUUAAAUUAAUUAAACCGUCAAACCAUCAUAAUUCGAUUUGGAUCAAAUUGGAUGGUUUAGAUGAUUUAAUCGGAAUUUUUUGUACCCCUACCCUUCAUAAGAAGUGCACAUUGGAUUGGAUUGGUAAAUAGCCCAUGCAACCAGACUACACUGGAUCAGGCUAAGAUUUCUCCAGGAAUUAAUUCUUGGGACAAUCCUAAAUUGAGGCAGCUCUGGGUUUAGUUAGCCAGAUAAGCUAGGUUGACAUGCCGGGUUUGUAGUAAAAGCAAACUUGACCAGCCCAAAUAAAUAUUUCCCUGGCUAUCUAAAUAAAAGUUCUUAGGAGUUUGACCUAGCCUCAAUAUGACCCAUUGUGUUCCAUAACAAAUUCUGCAGUUUUGAGAAAGAACAAGAGAGGAAAUAACUGCUCUGUGGUGCAGUAUUGUCAUGGCCCGGCCCAUUGAGCCUUCAACCCAGCCCAA
rnacentral:lncRNA from 1 species